GAGAGUUUUGCCUACUACAGCGGUAACCGCUAGUCUCCCUGCGAGGCGACACGCUCAAUGUGCGGAGAGCCCUCCCCCGAGGCAAUCCGCAGUGGCCUGCGCGGCCAUUCAGAGACUCAAUGAGCGUGGGUUCAGCGCGGCUGAGCUUGAGAUAGAGCCCGUCCCUGCCGGCAACGGCGGGGAGGAAACGGAACCUGCGGAAGGAUCAUUACAGAAGAACAUACGCCUU
rnacentral:rRNA from 1 species